rnacentral:tRNA from 1 species
GUCCAGGGAUGGGAAUCGAACCCAUAGUGUUCCGUUUACCGGACAGAUGCCAUGUCCACUAGGCUACCCUGGA